rnacentral:rRNA from 1 species
GACGAACGCUGGCGGCGUGCUUAACACAUGCAAGUCGAACGGAAAGGCCCUGCUUUUGUGGGGUGCUCGAGUGGCGAACGGGUGAGUAACACGUGAGUAACCUGCCCUUGACUUUGGGAUAACUUCAGGAAACUGGGGCUAAUACCGGAUAGGAGCUCCUGCUGCAUGGUGGGGGUUGGAAAGUUUCGGCGGUUGGGGAUGGACUCGCGGCUUAUCAGCUUGUUGGUGGGGUAGUGGCUUACCAAGGCUUUGACGGGUAGCCGGCCUGAGAGGGUGACCGGCCACAUUGGGACUGAGAUACGGACCAGACUCCUACGGGAGGCAGCGGUGGGGAAUAUUGCACAAUGGGAGGAAGCCUGAUGCAGCAACGCCGCGUGCGGGAUGACGGCCUUCGGGUUGUAAACCGCUUUCGCCUGUGACGAAGCGUGAGUGACGGUAAUGGGUAAAGAAGCACCGGCUAACUACGUG